GACGAACGCUGGCGGCGUGCUUAACACAUGCAAGUCGAACGGAAAGGCCCUGCUUGCAGGGUACUCGAGUGGCGAACGGGCGAGUAACACGUGGGUGAUCUGCCCUGCACUUCGGGAUAAGCCUUGGAAACUGGGUCUAAUACCGGAUAGGAGCCAUUUUUAGCGUGAUGGUUGGAAAGUUUUUUCGGUGUAGGAUGAGCUCGCGGCCUAUCAGCUUGUUGGUGGGGUAAUGGCCUACCAAGGCGGCGACGGGUAGCCGGCCUGAGGGGGUGGACGGCCACAUUGAGACUGAGAUGCGGCCCAGACUCCGACGGGAGGAAGCAGUGGGGAAGAUUGCACAAUGGGCGCAAGCCUGAUGCAGCGACGCCGCGGGGGGGAUGACGGCCUUCGGGUUGUAAACUCCUUUCGCUAGGGACGAAGCUUUUUGUGACGGUACCUAGAGAAGAAGCACCGGCUAACUACGUG
rnacentral:rRNA from 1 species